rnacentral:rRNA from 1 species
GGUUAAGCGACUAAGCGUACACGGUGGAUGCCCUGGCAGUCAGAGGCGAUGAAGGACGUGCUAAUCUGCGAUAAGCGUCGGUAAGGUGAUAUGAACCGUUAUAACCGGCGAUUUCCGAAUGGGGAAACCCAGUGUGUUUCGACACACUAUCAUUAACUGAAUCCAUAGGUUAAUGAGGCGAACCGGGGGAACUGAAACAUCUAAGUACCCCGAGGAAAAGAAAUCAACCGAGAUUCCCCCAGUAGCGGCGAGCGAACGGGGAGCAGCCCAGAGCCUGAAUCAGUGUGUGUGUUAGUGGAAGCGUCUGGAAAGGCGCGCGAUACAGGGUGACAGCCCCGUACACAAAAAUGCACAUGCUGUGAGCUCGAUGAGUAGGGCGGGACACGUGGUAUCCUGUCUGAAUAUGGGGGGACCAUCCUCCAAGGCUAAAUACUCCUGACUGACCGAUAGUGAACCAGUACCGUGAGGGAAAGGCGAAAAGAACCCCGGCGAGGGGAGUGAAAAAGAACCUGAAACCGUGUACGUACAAGCAGUGGGAGCACGCUUAGGCGUGUGACUGCGUACCUUUUGUAUAAUGGGUCAGCGACUUAUAUUCUGUAGCAAGGUUAACCGAAUAGGGGAGCCGAAGGGAAACCGAGUCUUAACUGGGCGUUAAGUUGCAGGGUAUAGACCCGAAACCCGGUGAUCUAGCCAUGGGCAGGUUGAAGGUUGGGUAACACUAACUGGAGGACCGAACCGACUAAUGUUGAAAAAUUAGCGGAUGACUUGUGGCUGGGGGUGAAAGGCCAAUCAAACCGGGAGAUAGCUGGUUCUCCCCGAAAGCUAUUUAGGUAGCGCCUCGUGAAUUCAUCUCCGGGGGUAGAGCACUGUUUCGGCAAGGGGGUCAUCCCGACUUACCAACCCGAUGCAAACUGCGAAUACCGGAGAAUGUUAUCACGGGAGACACACGGCGGGUGCUAACGUCCGUCGUGAAGAGGGAAACAACCCAGACCGCCAGCUAAGGUCCCAAAGUCAUGGUUAAGUGGGAAACGAUGUGGGAAGGCCCAGACAGCCAGGAUGUUGGCUUAGAAGCAGCCAUCAUUUAAAGAAAGCGUAAUAGCUCACUGGUCGAGUCGGCCUGCGCGGAAGAUGUAACGGGGCUAAACCAUGCACCGAAGCUGCGGCAGCGACGCUUAUGCGUUGUUGGGUAGGGGAGCGUUCUGUAAGCCUGCGAAGGUGUGCUGUGAGGCAUGCUGGAGGUAUCAGAAGUGCGAAUGCUGACAUAAGUAACGAUAAAGCGGGUGAAAAGCCCGCUCGCCGGAAGACCAAGGGUUCCUGUCCAACGUUAAUCGGGGCAGGGUGAGUCGACCCCUAAGGCGAGGCCGAAAGGCGUAGUCGAUGGGAAACAGGUUAAUAUUCCUGUACUUGGUGUUACUGCGAAGGGGGGACGGAGAAGGCUAUGUUGGCCGGGCGACGGUUGUCCCGGUUUAAGCGUGUAGGCUGGUUUUCCAGGCAAAUCCGGAAAAUCAAGGCUGAGGCGUGAUGACGAGGCACUACGGUGCUGAAGCAACAAAUGCCCUGCUUCCAGGAAAAGCCUCUAAGCAUCAGGUAACAUCAAAUCGUACCCCAAACCGACACAGGUGGUCAGGUAGAGAAUACCAAGGCGCUUGAGAGAACUCGGGUGAAGGAACUAGGCAAAAUGGUGCCGUAACUUCGGGAGAAGGCACGCUGAUAUGUAGGUGAAGUCCCUCGCGGAUGGAGCUGAAAUCAGUCGAAGAUACCAGCUGGCUGCAACUGUUUAUUAAAAACACAGCACUGUGCAAACACGAAAGUGGACGUAUACGGUGUGACGCCUGCCCGGUGCCGGAAGGUUAAUUGAUGGGGUUAGCCGCAAGGCGAAGCUCUUGAUCGAAGCCCCGGUAAACGGCGGCCGUAACUAUAACGGUCCUAAGGUAGCGAAAUUCCUUGUCGGGUAAGUUCCGACCUGCACGAAUGGCGUAAUGAUGGCCAGGCUGUCUCCACCCGAGACUCAGUGAAAUUGAACUCGCUGUGAAGAUGCAGUGUACCCGCGGCAAGACGGAAAGACCCCGUGAACCUUUACUAUAGCUUGACACUGAACAUUGAGCCUUGAUGUGUAGGAUAGGUGGGAGGCUUUGAAGUGUGGACGCCAGUCUGCAUGGAGCCGACCUUGAAAUACCACCCUUUAAUGUUUGAUGUUCUAACGUUGACCCGUAAUCCGGGUUGCGGACAGUGUCUGGUGGGUAGUUUGACUGGGGCGGUCUCCUCCUAAAGAGUAACGGAGGAGCACGAAGGUUGGCUAAUCCUGGUCGGACAUCAGGAGGUUAGUGCAAUGGCAUAAGCCAGCUUGACUGCGAGCGUGACGGCGCGAGCAGGUGCGAAAGCAGGUCAUAGUGAUCCGGUGGUUCUGAAUGGAAGGGCCAUCGCUCAACGGAUAAAAGGUACUCCGGGGAUAACAGGCUGAUACCGCCCAAGAGUUCAUAUCGACGGCGGUGUUUGGCACCUCGAUGUCGGCUCAUCACAUCCUGGGGCUGAAGUAGGUCCCAAGGGUAUGGCUGUUCGCCAUUUAAAGUGGUACGCGAGCUGGGUUUAGAACGUCGUGAGACAGUUCGGUCCCUAUCUGCCGUGGGCGCUGGAGAACUGAGGGGGGCUGCUCCUAGUACGAGAGGACCGGAGUGGACGCAUCACUGGUGUUCGGGUUGUCAUGCCAAUGGCACUGCCCGGUAGCUAAAUGCGGAAGAGAUAAGUGCUGAAAGCAUCUAAGCACGAAACUUGCCCCGAGAUGAGUUCUCCCUGAC